rnacentral:lncRNA from 1 species
CCGCCCCGCUCCCGGCGGACACCACCGAGCCCGGCCCCGCGGGUGCCGACCCCGCGGGUGCCGCCCCCGCGCACCAUUGGGCCGCCCCAACGGCCCCGGCUCCCGAUUGGAUGCGCCGCCCGUCCAUCCGCAGCCGCCUGCCCCGCCGAGGGAAACCCGCGGGGCCCGUACCUGUGCGAGCUCGGGUCCCAACCGCCGCCGCGACGAGCCCGGCCCGAGUCGGUGCGUGAGCCUCGCCGGGCAGGAAGGGGAGGAGCAGCCCCCGGCGGCGGGAGAGGCGGUGGGAGCCAGGGAGGCCCCUCCGGCACACGCAGGGAGGCCGCCGCCGCCACCCCGACUGCUCGCCGGGCAGGUUUGACGUUUGCUGUUGUUGCUGGAAGUGACGUCGCUGCGGAGGGACGCGCGGGAAGCGGAAGCGGCCGUUGGCUCUCGCUGCGGCACCUUCAGUCCGCGCCGCCGGCGCCCGAGGGGAGGCUGCGAGGCACGCGCCGUCCUGGGGCGCGCGGCCCGGCGGGAGCGGGGGUUCCCGCGGCGGCGGGCGCCGAACCUAAGGAUUAAAGAAGAAGAAUCUGAUAAUUAAAUAGGAAGAAAAUACUUUAACAAGGGGAGAACACAUGUGAAGAUCUUAAUCUUCUUGAAGGUGGCUGAUUUAAACACCAGAGUCGCAAGAAGAAAAAAAAAAAAAAACAAAGCACAAGUAAACCCCAGACCAUUGUGAGUGCAGGCUUGAACUUUUAUUUUACUGUAAGUCUGAUCAAGAAGUUCCUUUCAAGAAGAGUCAUUGCUUUAACGAGUAGGACCAAAUGACAAAGCUGCAAACUGGAGUACCCAUUGGAGUUGAUUUCUGACAAGGCUAGACAUAAUCUCUUUGGAGUGUUUGGUCUUCUGAAUCUCAUGUGUCAGCAAGAGAAAUGAUAUAAAAUUCUGUAACUUGAGAAUAUCUCUUCAAGUAUAGGCUUUCUGGCAAUGCCUCUUCACAGCUUGGAUUGGUAGACUUCAAAUUACUUGUUUUUUGGCAGUAGCAGCCAGUUAUCUCCUAGGUUCUAGCAGAAAACUGAAGAAUAAAUUUCUGUUCUAAGGCUUUAUAGAAGAAAUCAUUGCUUUUACUGAGGCUUUUGGGGGAAGUACUGUAGAGGAUUAAGCCAGUCACAAGCAGAUCGCAAGGAUGUGAGGAAGGAGAGCUGGUUUUGUGAGGUGUCAACUUCUUAUACACUGUUUGGCAGUUUGCUAAUAGACUUUCUCAGGUUCUCUCAGUCUGUCCAGAUUGCUAAGGUGCAAGCCAUUUGUUUCCAGUUGUGACCUAAGAGCUAGGCUAUCAUCCAGUCUGUGCUUUUAAAGUCUUGUAUUGGAGAAGAGCUAAUAUUGGUUACUUAUAAACAAAUGGUUAGAAGAUACAGUAAAUAGUACUCAUAGGCUAUCUCUAAAUAUAAAUGUAUUUUGAAGCAGUGGAGUGAAGAACAAGGUACUUUAAGGUAAUUAUUAGUUCUGAAAUUUGAAGGUGGUGCUUCAGGUGUUUCAUUUUACUAUGUGCCAGCAAGGUAGAGUUGCCAGUAUUUUUAAAUGUCUUACAGCAUUCCUUCCCGCCCCCGAGUCUCCUCUUCCUCCAUUUGGGAAUUUACUAAUCAGUUCUGUUUGGUAAAAUGUAUUAAAAGUGUGAGCUUCCUGUACUUAUUUAUCCUUUUGAUAGAUCUCAAAACUGAUUUGGAUGAUGGUGAUUUCAUGCUUUGCUGAUUGUGUUAUCUUUUUUUUUUUUUUUUCUCCCCCCUUUCUUGCAGUCUUCAGUUUACUUGCAGAAUAAUUCUGCAGGGAGAAAGGCAGUAGUUUGCUCUUAGAUGAUUCUCUUCUGUGAAGCAAAGCCCACAAUAAAUUAAAAGCGGGUUCACAACUUGUGUGUUACAAUGCAGAAGUUUAAACAGGGACCUUUUGAUUGUCAUUCUAAUAAACUUGCACCUAUUUUGAAAUAUCUAGGCACUCUGUUACCCCCUCCCCCCCUGAACAAUUUUAAGUGUAUUUAAUGGAUUGUCUAAAUAGAGAAGUAUUGUCUGUAAUGAGUUGCUAGUUUUGCCUUUUUAUUGGUCUUUUGACCAGUGCACUUGGGGCCAGGUGAAGAAAAGAAUAAGAAGCAUUCUAAACUGAAGAAGUUUUCACUACUUACGGAGUUUCUGCUCCUUUGAAACGGUGAAGAAAUUUGUUUUCACUCAGUUUGAGUGGAUUUAGCCUGCCCUAAAUUCUUAAUAUGCUUUCAGAUACUUUUAUCUUUAAAGAUCUUUGAUAGUUGACUGGAUUGCGGAUUACUACUUGAUCCUAUUCAGAAUGAAUGAAGGUGAUUACUGAUAUUAAUUGGUUUUGAGUUGUAGCUCUGUACUGUAUUGUAACACUUUGGAAAUAGUGUCUAGAAAAAAGAAGCAAACCCCUUUGAUUUUCAGUGAUAAUUCUAUUGCAUUUUAUAUUUUUG